rnacentral:rRNA from 1 species
GAUGAACGCUGGCGGCGUGCCUAAUACAUGCAAGUCGAGCGAACGGACGAGAAGCUUGCUUCUCUGAUGUUAGCGGCGGACGGGUGAGUAACACGUGGAUAACCUACCUAUAAGACUGGGAUAACUUCGGGAAACCGGAGCUAAUACCGGAUAAUAUUUUGAACCGCAUGGUUCAAAAGUGAAAGACGGUCUUGCUGUCACGUAUAGAUGGAUCCGCGCUGCAUUAGCUAGUUGGUAAGGUAACGGCUUACCAAGGCAACGAUGCAUAGCCGACCUGAGAGGGUGAUCGGCCACACUGGAACUGAGACACGGUCCAGACUCCUACGGGAGGCAGCAGUAUGGAAUCUUCCGCAAUGGGCGAAAGCCUGACGGAGCAACGCCGCGUGAGUGAUGAAGGUCUUCGGAUCGUAAAACUCUGUUAUUAGGGAAGAACAUAUGUGUAAGUAACUGUGCACAUCUUGACGGUACCUAAUCAGAAAGCCACGGCUAACUACGUG